GUCGGUUCGUCUCUGGCCACGACUGAAAAAAGGUGGAACCGCGUCCACCCGCACCGACUCCUUCCCGGAAACCCAUCGCUGCCACCGGCUCCACGGCCUCUAUAAAAUACCACCGGAGCCUCCCAUGGUUUCCUCGUAUCGGAGGAUUUGAUUGACGUCUCUUCUCUUCUCUUCCCCCUCUCGUCGGGUAAGUCGCAGGUAUGGCCAUGGGGUAAUCGGUUCAGAUCUCGCGCUCCUUGUUUCGCUGUUCGUCGUUUGAUUGUAAUUCCAGGCGAGCGUUUCUGUCUGGGUUGUGGUGCUCCUUACGUUGAUUUCGAUCGAGGCGUAGUUCCGGUGAUUUGUCCUCCUCCGUUCCGGUGAUGUUGGUAUCGUCUUCUGAACCUCGCUGCUUUGGUUUAGGUCGCAGCUAAUCUAUUUUGCUUUGACUUCUGAUCUGAUUUAGGGUCGUGGCUAAUCCAUCAUGCUGAUUGCGAUAUGAUUUAGGGUCGUGGCUUAUCCAUUUUUAUCCUAAUUGCUGAUUUGAUUCAAGGCUGUCACGAUUAAUGGAGAUUAUUUUUGGCGAGAGCAACCAGUUGUGUUAGUUUAAUGGAGAUUAUUUAAACGUGGAGCAGUUUAUUUGCUUUCAUCUCUGUUCGUUACGGUGGAUUGGUCUUGGUCGGUUUAGUUGAUUCCUUGGAGAUGUUUGACAUGAUCGGAAUAAGAGAUUGAAGGUUGAGUGGUUUGGAUUGGUCUGUUCCAUUGGUGAUUCAAUAAUGUUCUGCGUACAGUGCUUUAUCUUUUUGCGGUGAAAAACAGUGAUUUGGGAGACAGUCCAGACAGUCAAAUUUCUGCAGUUUUUCUGCAUUUGAUCCCGUUCUUUCAUGACUUAGUCAGAUUCAAUAAGAGUUAGUGGAAAAAGGUUUGCUAUGCCUAUCCGGAUAUAUUUGCUUUCGCCUAGCAGCCUAUGCAUGUCAGACCAUAUCAAAGGGAUUUUGCUAUGUUGUGUGCUGUGUUAUAAAUGUAGAGCUGGGAUAUGUACUUCUUGAACUGUGUGGACAUGCUCAUGGUGGAGAUUCUUCAGUGGCUAUAUUUAGGUCACACCUUUUGAUUGGUUUCAUUUCAAGAUCCCUAAGAAUAUCGGAGGUGCUUGUUUUGUUUGCGUUCUAGAUGUAACUUUCUUGGGAAGUACCCUCAAAGAACAUGGAAGUUUGCUUUUGAAGUAAUCUGUUUGAAGUUUCAAGUACAUUGAAGAAAGCUGCUGAACUAGUUUACUGCCUGCCAUGUUUUGAUUGGGUGACACAUCAAGGUCUAUUCAGAUGCUGAUUACUGUGUUGGAAUCUACCAAUCCUUCUGAUCUCUAGUUUGUGACUUUGAUUUUCUACAUGGAUAUUCAGUUGGGCUUCUGCCGGUUUACAUGCUCUGUCCAGUGUUGGAUUAGUCUUAGGCCUCCUUUGAUUUGAAGGAUUUUUCAUAGAAAAAACGUAGGAAUUUUCAUUCCAUAAGAUUUGCCACUGUAGCGAUGUUUGAUUUGCAAGAACCAGUAUGAAGGAAUACUGUUGCAAUCCAGAGAAACACUGUUGGUUCCCUGUGAUUUCGCAUGGAGUGAAACAUUGAGUCAUACCUCUUUUUUACACAAAGACCAAGGCAAGAGGGACAAAGUUGCAUACCAGCGCAUGGUUUCUCUACUAAAUAAUGCAUUCCUUUGAUUUCAGUUCCCGCAUUUCAAACGUUCCAUUUGUUUCAUAUUCCUAUAUUUUUCACUUUUUUUCAAUCCUCUGUUUUACAAUUGCAACCCUAUAGAUUUUCGGUAUUCUUUCUAUUCCAGCGUUUUUGCAAUCAUGUGAAUCAAAGAGGCCCUUAGCUUAUUAUUAGCAUUCUUACUGUAAUUUGUAGUCAUGUUUUGUUCAUGCAAUUUAUGUUUUAUGCUGUACACAAUUGUCAAUUAUGCAUCCUGUAUGAUGUUAUUGGUGUAAUUAUUGAAUGAUUAUGGAUGAGCCCUUCAUCGUUGUUUGGUUGGGUGCAUAAAAGCUGUAA